UAAGUCUCAUGCCGUGUAUAUAUUCUCCUUUAGUGGAGAUGUAGGGUUAAUGAGAUGCCGUGUAUAUAUUCUCCUUUAGUGGAGAUGUAGGGUUAAUGGGAAGAAAGAGAUUGUUGUUCUAAAAAUAAGAGGAGGAGGCGUAUUACUUAUUUUUUUUUCAUUGUGAGAGAAGGGGGAGAGAUUGUGGAAGACAUAGCCCACAACUCUAUGCAAAUCAGUUGGCCAUUAAAGUCCGAUCAAGGUGUAAUUUUAGGGGGAGGUUGCUGGCAUUGAGAAGAUCAUCCUCUUUGGCCAGGUUCCGUUUAUCUCUAUUUUACGUCUCUUCUACACCGAGUGAGAUUACUUAUCUUUGUGGUUGAUAUCCACUCUUUUUCUGGGUGAAGUUUCAUUCUGUUGAUGUUAAACUUCUAGUUCAACUUAGAGAAGACCAAUUGUAACUCCAUUAUUAUUGAUGAUAGUGGAAUAUUAUUCGAGUUAGCCCAUAGUUUUUUACUCUUCAAUCAGGAGGGAAAAGUAUAUUCUGGUGUUCAUUGUGUGAUUUGAUUUUAUUGAUUGUUUGUUCUAUAUUUGUUAAUCUUAGAUGCUUGCAGAGUGAUGAGAAAGUUCCUGUCCAGGAAAAAAGCGAACACGAUAUCCCCAAAUUUCUUGGAGGGCAGGAUUGAGAGAGAAAUGAAGAUGGAAAAACACUUUAAAAAUAAUUAAAAAAAAAAUGUCUGAUAAUGGAGAAUUGUUUAAAGCAAGAAAUAAGUAAGUAUUUCAUUUGUAUUUUCUUCUCACUGCUGCAGUACAUAACAUAAAGUCCUUUAUUGUACAGUCCUUUAUUAUAAAUGUAACAAAAAGAUGCCACCUCUCAACAAAGAAAAAGUAGAAAGACAAAAGAUUGCAAGAGCUAGAGUGAGAAUUCCAAAUACAGUAGUAAUCAACACUAUCACAUAAUUUCUAUAUCUUUUUCUUAUAAUUAAAGAAUUAUCACUCAGCACCAAACUUCUUUGCCAUCUCCGUGAUGAAGUCAGAGAACUUGUACUGGUCUGGAAGAGACUAGGAAACACUCUCCUUCUCCAUGCACCUUUUAGCCCAUGCCACAAUUUUAGGGCACUCUUCCUCCAUGCUAAGGUUGCCAUAAGUCUAGUAGACGUGAAACCAAACUGUAAAAGGGUAUUAGUGCAAUAUCCACAAAACCAAAGGUCUCUCUCCCAAAACAAUAGUGUUUUUAUUUUAAAUGAACAAAUAUCAUUUAAUAUUUCACACGUGAUUAUAUGUGUAUAAUGUCAAUUUUUAUUAAAGAAAAAAGUUGAACACUUCAUGAUGUAUUCAAUAUUAUUUUCAAAAUUACUUGGUAGGCUUGUGUAAUAAAUGUUUGAGAAUAUCGGUCUAAGUAUCGGCGAAGUGUCCGAAAAGAACAGAAAAAUAUGCAAGAUAAUAAAAAAUUAUUUUUAUUAACAGACAGAAACGUGUCAAAAAGGAAUGUCUGACGAGUGUUGGUGUUAGACACGGAUAAGAUACAAAUACAAUUCUUUGGUAAAAGUGUUUGUACUUGAUAGAUGUGGUGUGAUAUGCUUUUUAAAAUUCGUCAAACUUUUCGUUUGUAUAAUACUAUAGAGUAUUCCCUUCCUCUUUUGGCACAAUAAUAAUAGUGAAUGAAUAAUAGUGUCGUAGAUAUGUUGAUGAACCCCCCCCUCCCCCCCCUAAAAAAAAACACCCACCACAACAACACACAAAGUAACCUCUCCUUCCAAACUUUAGGACCACCCCAUUAGCUUUCUUUUCUUUUAUUUUUCCAAAGAUUAUUGGUCCUCUCAUUUGCUACAACGGGAUAUUUUGCAACUAUUCACAAUUGAUUUUGCCACCAAACAAUUUGUUUUAAAGUCUUGCCUUUGCCUUAAUUGUAGAGGAACUGAAUUAAAAGAUGGGUUUAAGGACUUGAAUCGAAAGAAAUCUCAAGAAUAUCAACAGAACAUGAAGUAAUUUAUUUACUGUACGUGUAACAAAAACAACGCACCCCUCAACAAAUAAGAAGCACAGAGACCAAACUUAAAUCCAAAAAAAUGAAAAAUA